GCCUAGCAACCUGCUCUGGUCUGUUUCCCGUCCCAAUGGGGAAGAGGGGACUAUGUCUUUAAUGUUUGUAAUUGGCCUUUCCUGUUCCGAGAUGGCUGCCAGCUGCUGUGCCAAAUUCCUGGCUCCCAGCUCUAGGGCGCUUACUACAGGUCUCCCACUGCCCUGGAAGUUUGUAGUUACAAGAUAUUUCAGAGGCUCAAGACAUGUCUGUAAGAAGUACUGAGGAAUGGAGAAAUGUAUAGAAACUGGUCAUGGUCUACAUGCAAUCCAGCUG